CAGUAGCCGCGGGAAUACGUAGGUCCCGAGCGUUGUCCGGAUUUAUUGGGCGUAAAGGGAGCGCAGGCGGUUUAGUAAGUCUGAAGUUAAAGGCAUUGGCUCAACCAAUGUAUGCUUUGGAAACUGUUAGACUUGAGUGCAGAAGGGGAGAGUGGAAUUCCAUGUGUAGCGGUGAAAUGCGUAGAUAUAUGGAGGAACACCGGUGGCGAAAGCGGCUCUCUGGUCUGUCACUGACGCUGAGGCUCGAAAGCGUGGGUAGCGAACAGGAUUAGAUACCCGUGUAGUCCCUGUCUCUUAUACC
rnacentral:rRNA from 1 species